CCCGCUGAACUUAAGCAUAUCAAUAAGCGGAGGAAAAGAAACCAACAGGGAUUGCCCCAGUAACGGCGAGUGAAGCGGCAGCAGCUCAAAUUUUAAAUCUGGCACCCGCCCGAGUUGUAAUUUGAAGAGGAUGCUUUGGGGUCGUCUCCGGUCUAAGUCCCUUGGAACGGGGCGCCGCAGAGGGUGAGAGUCCCGUACGCGGCCGGACGCCUUCCCCGGUAAAGCUCCCUCGACGAGUCGAGUUGUUUGGGAAUGCAGCUCUAAAUGGGAGGUAAAUUCCUUCUAAGGCUAAAUACCUGCCAGAGACCGAUAGCGCACAAGUAGAGUGAUCGAAAGAUGAAAAGCACUUUGGAAAGAGAGUUAAAAAGUACGUGAAAUUGUUGAAAGGGAAGCGUUUGUGGCCAGACUCGACGGUGGUUGCUCAGCCGGUCUUCGACCGGUGCACUCUUCCACCGACGGGCCAGCGUCAGUUCGGUGGGUCGGAUAAAGACCCGGGGAAUGUGGCUCCUCGGAGUGCUAUAGCCCCGGGUACAAUGCGGCCCGCCGGACUGAGGUACGCGUUCGCUAGGACGCUGGCGUAAUGGCCGCCAACGGCCCGUCUUGAAACACGG
rnacentral:rRNA from 1 species